AUACGUAGGUGGCGAGCGUUAUCCGGAUUUACUGGGUGUAAAGGGCGCGUAGGCGGGGGUGCAAGUCAGAUGUGAAAUCUAUGGGCUCCACUCAUAAACUGCCUUUGAAACUGUACUUCUUGGGCACUGGAGAGGUAGACGGAAUUCCUUGUGUAGCGGUGAAAUGCGUAGAUAUAAGGAAGAACACCAGUGGCGAAGGCGGUCUACUGGACAGCAACUGACGCUGAGGCGCGAAAGCGUGGGGAGCAAACAGGAUUAGAUACCCUGGUAGUCCACGCUGUAAACGAUGAAUUCUAGGUGUGGGGGGACUGACCCCUUCCGUGCCGCAGUUAACACAAUAAGUAUUCCACCUGGGGAGUACGGCCGCAAGGUUGAAACUCAAAUGAAUUGACGGGG
rnacentral:rRNA from 1 species